rnacentral:lncRNA from 1 species
CUUGGUCGAGGAGUCACUGUUCUUUCUGAACCUGGGGCAGAGUGGCAGGGGCAGUGAUUGAAAUGUCACUAUCAACCCCAGCAAAGGGUGGAUGCUGGACUGGAGUUAGGGAGUGGAAAACGGCACAGUGCCCUUCAGGAGUCUGUAAGGGCAGUGGGGAGCUUAUGCUUCAAGUGAUGAAGAGGAGAAGACAAGGAACCAAACUGGGCUCAAGGUGCUGAAACUAUAACAUCAUUAUGUAAAAAGGCUGCCAUUAUUGCUCUUGACAACUUAUGCCACUUCCAGUGGCCUUGCAGGAAUGGGAUAAAGGGCAGACAUUUUAAGGACAGAUAUUUUCAAUGAAAGCAAAGACAAAGAAGAAUGUGUCCAGGAAGCCUAUCUGGAAGGGACACCACACUGUGGGUUUGAGGUGGCCAAGAAGGCACCUGGAUGACAUCGGUGUCAGAUGGAAAGAGACGGUGAUGCCUUCUAGGACUCUGCUGCUUUCCAGCUCUAUUGAAGCACCAGAUGCAGUGGUUCAUUGAAAUUCAGUAAUGGGUUAAACCUCGAGGAGACAACAGCUUGUACUGCUUUGCUUUCCUCUCCACUGUGGCUGUUUGGUGGAGACACAGGGAGUGGGGGCAAUGAAGGUGAUGGAGGAAAAUGUUUCUCUUCUCUGAAGCAUCAGAACAGCUCCCUUAAUGGCCUCUUAUGUCUGAGUCCCAAGGUUUUCGUUCAAAAUGAUAAUAAAAGGACACCUCAAACCUACAGGGAAAACCCACUCACAUAGAGCAGCUUCGAGCCAAGCCUCUGGAGUCACCAAGCUGAAAAGAACCUGAUUAAUGACAGCACCUGAGAUAAGUGGCACUUUAACCAACCUUAACUGUUGAUGUAUGAUGACAUAAUGUCCCCUCCAAUUAAUGACAAGGAUAUAAAACACCUGUAUUUAGCAGAGCAGAUGCUGCUUUUAUGGUUAGAUGCGCAGAUGAAAUUGACUUCUAAAGGACCAUCUAUAACUUACUUCCCUAUUAUUUGUUUCUAUAUUUGUUUCAUUAUGUAUGUUGUAGGUGCAGGAGGAAAUUUAACCCUGGAUUUCACACCUGCACAGCCAAAAGUCAGAUGUUGGAUGAGACAUGAGAACCUGGGAGAGUCUGCGGAGCUGGGAACAGAGCAACCAUGGUGGAAUAGAGGCAAAGGAAAUGAACAAGGUCUUCAAUUCCCUGUGUCGCUCCUUGCUGUGUCCCCUGGACCCUAAGAAUCCUAGAAGAGCUCCAAGCUCCCUCUCCCCUAGACUCCAGAGUUGUGAGAACUGGGGUCUGACUUGCACUUCUGCUUCCAGAAAGGACCUUGCUACAGGCAGGGCUGUGCAUGACAGUAAGGGUGACGUGUUCCCCA